rnacentral:rRNA from 1 species
CCUACGUGAGGCAGCAGUGAGGAAUAUUGGUCAAUGGACGGAAGUCUGAACCAGCCAUGCCGCGUGCAGGAAGACGGCUCUAUGAGUUGUAAACUGCUUUUGUACAAGGGUAAACCUGAAUACGUGUAUUCAGCUGAAAGUACUGUACGAAUAAGGAUCGGCUAACUCCGUGCUAGCAGCCGCGGUAAUACGGAGGAUCCAAGCGUUAUCCGGAUUUAUUGGGGUUAAAGGGUGCGUAGGCGGAUUGAUAAGUUAGAGGUGAAAUGUCCGAGCUUAACUCGGGAACUGCCUCUAAUACUGUUGAUCUAGAGAGUAGAUGCGGUAGGCGGAAUGUAUGGUGUAGCGGUGAAAUGCUUAGAGAUCAUACAGAACACCGAUUGCGAAGGCAGCUUACCAAUCUAUAUCUGACGUUGAGGCACGAAAGCGUGGGGAGCAAACAGGAUUAGAUACCCUUGUAGUC